CUUUUAGACCCAGCGCCUUUACCCAAAAUAAAUGGAGGACUGCUCUCUGCUCUCACUCUGGAAUGACACAAAAACGGGAAUCCUUCCUGUUCUUCCUCAUUUUCUAACCUAAAAAACCACUCACAACCAAACCCUCCCCCAUUUUUGAAGGAACAACGACGCUCCCCCUCCUCUCGAGAACAAUCAGAUCUGAUCCCUCACAUAUUACACCUAAAGAGAUGAAAAAAUCAGAGGCUCCUCUCUAAAAGAAGCGUCGUUCCUCCCUUCUUCUCCUUCAUUGCUCAUUCACAUACAGAGAACACACUCUUUCCCUCCCAUUUUUCUCUGAUUUCAUCAACACACACACGUUGAAGCCUUUGGUAACAAGUGAAAAUUAUAGAAUCUAGCGCUAAAAUUCGAAGGUGACGAAGCUGAUUUUCAGCCUUGAAUUUUUAUUUUAUUCUCCACAUUUUUGUGGGAAUUUAAGAGCUUGAUGAAGCCGUAAAGAUUGCUUCGAAGCUGAGAGCUGUUGGAACUGUUUGAUUUCGAGCUCGUUGUUGUUUGUUGGGUGGAGCUUCAUUUUUUCAUCUAUGGGUACUGAUUCGUCAAGUUUCACCUCUUGAAUUUUGCUUCUAGGAAUGUUCAUCUUCUCUAUUGCUCUACAUCGGAUCAUGAAAUGAAAAUUGCUUUGUUACUUCUGCUCAGUUCUCCUGGCAUGCCAAGUAGUAGAAUAGUAGUCACGCCAAGUACCGGAAUAGAGUUCACUGGACCAUCAAUGAUAACAAAAUCAGCUGAUGUAACUGGUGACAUUGGUUUCAAACCAAGUAGUGGACUGAAAUGGAAGGGGAAACCAACAAUCACAACAAGAAGGCUUCAAGAGAUUAGAGGGCAACAUAGAAUUCAAACAAGGAUUGGUGGAUCAAACAACCUAAGCCAGAAUAGUAGUUCUGCACAUCCCCAAUAGAUUUGGUUGUUUUUGUUGACUGAAAUCUACUUCACCUACAAUUAUUUGAUGUUUUUGGUUGACUACAAGUAGACAAUGUAUAUCCUAAGCUAGACAGUUGGUUGUUUUUGUUGACUGCAAUCUGUAGUUUUUAUCCUAUUAGUUUUUAAAUGUUGCCUUAGUA